GAUGAACGCUGGCGGCGUGCUUAACACAUGCAAGUCGAACGGAAAGGCCCAAGCUUGCUUGGGUACUCGAGUGGCGAACGGGUGAGUAACACGUGGGUGAUCUGCCCUGCACUUCGGGAUAAGCCUGGGAAACUGGGUCUAAUACCGGAUAGGACCACUUCUUGGAUGUUGUGGUGGAAAGUUUUUCGGUGUGGGAUGAGCUCGCGGCCUAUCAGCUUGUUGGUGGGGUAAUGGCCUACCAAGGCGUCGACGGGUAGCCGGCCUGAGAGGGUGUACGGCCACAUUGGGACUGAGAUACGGCCCAGACUCCUACGGGAGGCAGCAGUGGGGAAUAUUGCACAAUGGGCGCAAGCCUGAUGCAGCGACGCCGCGGGGGGGAUGACGGCCUUCGGGUUGUAAACUCCUUUCGCUAGGGACGAAGCUUAUUUUGUGACGGUACCUGGAGAAGAAGCACCGGCUAACUACGUG
rnacentral:rRNA from 1 species